AUGCCAAGAAACGCGCGCAGCUCCGCCAAAACGGAAUGGGAAACGCCCAGGGGUCCAUGGUCCCGCAUCCACAUUGAUUUUGCGGGACCUACAAAAGGCCAUACCUUUCUGAUAACAGUGGACGCCUACUCGAACUGGCUCAAGGUGAACAAGAUGAAGACCACAACCACAGAAGCGGUCAUCAAAAAACUAAACAGUCUGUUUGCAACACACGGAUUUCCAGAUGUCCUGGUCUCCGACAAUGGCCCGCAGUUUACCGCCCUGGCGUUUGAACAAUACCUAGCUGACCGGGGAAUACGUCACGCCUUGACAUCACCUGCACACCCGGCAGCCAAUGGCAGAGCUGAACGAAUGGUUCAGUUUACUAAAACAACCCUACACAAAAUGGACCAAGGAAAUAUUCACGACAGAGUCACCAGAAUGCUCCUUCUCCAACAUAUCACACCGAACAGCACCACAAACAAAAGCCCAGCUGAACUUCUUAUGGGCAGAAAACUUAGAUCACACCUGGACCGCCUACACCCUGCCUACACCCCAGAAAAGCCCCUGGGUUCCAGCAGCAAACAUCGCACAUUCAAGGUAGGAGACCUUGUGUUCGCUAAGAAUUUUACAGGUGACCCUUUGUGGGUCCCUGCCAAGAUAACACAAAUUACGGGUCCCCGUUCCUACCAAUUAGAAACCACAGAUGGAAGAUUGUGGAAACGCCACAUCGACCAGCUGCGUUCAAGACUACUAACUACCCCCUCCACGAACUCUGACAUCGAAACCAGAGGGGGAAGGGAAACCGAGGAUUUUGAAAAUGAAAUAAUACCUGCCCCAGGACACGCUAGCCCGCAGUUCGCACAUCCAAGCCCAGCAUACACACCUGAUGACGAGGACCCAUGGCAGACGGUCGUUUCCCCAGGCAGCAGCAGCCGAGCGGGGUCAGCAAGUUCGGAGGACCCAGACGACAGGGACAACGUUGUAGGCAGCCCUGAGUCACCUCCAAGGAUACCCAGCAUAGAAGCCAGGUCACCGUUAAACAACCCACCAGAACCAGCAUCCGAGCUAAGGCAGGUUGAACAACGCAAAUCAGGUAGACAGGUGCGAAGACCUGCCUACCUGCGCGAAUACAUCACCCCACCCCUGAGACGGAACCUAGAGGGGAGGGGUGUUCCGAACUAA
rnacentral:lncRNA from 1 species